rnacentral:lncRNA from 1 species
UUCCCCUUUUUAAUGAAAUCCCCAUAAGUUAUUAUAAAUUAUUACAACCCAGAAUUUAAUAGGAAGAGAAUUAAAUUACAUCUGAAAACUAAAAGCUUCCAACCAAGGAGAGCCUGAUUUUGAUUUCAUGCUUGAAGCAUGCAGUAGACCAAGUCCAAAGAUCCAAGUCUAAAGCCUUUCUAAUUUUUUGGGUGUGUCAGAGUUUCCAAGAGCCUUAUGAGCUCCAGUGCUUACACCCAAAUUCAUUACAGAGUUGAGAAAUAGUGUGAUGUGGAAUAGCCAACCCUCAAGUCUCCAAGUUCAGAGAGAAAUCAAGGUCCCAAAGCAUGGCUCAUAGGAGGGGGGAAAAACUUAGAAGCUCGAAAUGAGUGUGAGUGCGAUAGAGGAGAUUCUGGGGAGAGCCAAUAUAAGCUAGUGAUCAUACCCAGCAAUUGGAGGUGCUGAAACAACCCAACCAGCCAUGUUGGUCACAUAGUAUGGGAGUUAGGGCCCAUUAAAGGAUCAAGUCCAGUAUGAUCGACAAUUUGGAUGUUGCCAUGCUUUGAACUUUAACUCAAACACAUUGAAGGGAAUGGGGUAUGGGGAUUGACAACAACAACAGAUGCAAAGAGAAUAACAUAUUUAAUACUUAACAUUGCAGCAAAGUAGUUACAAUUGUAGAAGUUGUAAAGUAAAUACAUAGGGAUGAGGCAAAAAAACUAAAUUAAAACGUACUAGUUUCUAGGAAACAAGUAACAAAAGCAAAGUCUUGAAAAAACCUAAGUGCAAACAUGAAGACAAAAUAAUUUAAGUGUGCGAGAUUGUGAAGUCUAAAGUGUGUUAAUCGUGUGUGGUUUGUGUUAAAGAAGGUCAUGUAUUUAUAGUGUGAAAGUCAUGAGCAAAUAAGGUAAGUGAACAAUUAUAGACUGAUUGUAAAUCAAUUACACAAGGUUUUCCCUUAAUUAAGGGGUUCAGAUUCAAACGGGUAGAACCAUUUAAGGAAAAGAAUUUUAAAUGAACACUUUGUGCAAAGUAGUAAAUUAGGGGCAAAUGCACAAAGGCUAUUUAAGGAAAAAAACCCUGAAACACGCGGUUGCACAAUUUGAGGAAAGAGAAUCAAUUGACAACCAAGAAAACAGAAAUCCAAAGAUUUGGUAUGAAUGAACCAAGCCAGAAAGGUGGAAAAGGUUUUAACGUAAAGAGCAUCAGCAACAAUCAAUUAGACCUAUUAAAAGGAGAUUCUGAAUCAAUCACUAAUUGGAGAACCUCUUUGAAGAAAGAUUUGUCACACAUAUAAAGCAUACAUACACGCUUAAACAUGAAAGAACUGUCAUGCUAAUCAGUAGAAGAGUCUAGUGUAGAAGAAAUUAAAAAGUUCAAAACAAAGAAGUUCAAACUUAGUUCAACAGUCAGUCUGAGAGAGUCAAGGGUUCUAAAAUAGAACCCUACUUCAAUCACAUGACCAAACCUCGGCAGAAUUGCCCCAAAUUCUAGGGUUUCCUCCUUGAAUCAAAUACAGAGAUGAGGAAAUAAGUAGUCGAAACAGGCUUAGGGGUUUAUUUCAGAAAUUCAUGAGAACAUAUGCAAACACAGUAGAAGGUUUAAAGCAAACAGAGUGAAGAAACUAAUUCGAAGUAUGACAAGAGAACAUCAUGAUAGUAGAAAAAACAUGCUUAAGAAAAAUCCUCUCAGAAGGGACUUAAAUAGGGUUUAGUAGAAGAGAAAUAAUAAACACUUAAGAAUGCAGUAGUAAAUAUAGUAGAAGAUAAUACUUUUAGAAGGAACUUAACCAAAGUUCAGAAGAGAAAUUAGCAAAACACUUAUUAAUACAACAGAAGAAACAUGUUUAAAGAGGUCUUUUAGAAGAAUCAAACAAGGUCCAGUAGAAGGCAAACAAAUAGACUUAAGAUCUUAGUAAAAAGAAUACAGUAGAAGAACACAAGAACGCCGGAAAAGCAUGACAAAAUAACAUAUAGGAAAACACAAUGGGAUAAACAUAUAAGAGCAUGAUAGAAAGGAAACAAGAAUAUAGUAGAAGAACGGGAUAUAGAAAACAAAACAGAGGGACACAAGAGCACGGUAGGAUCUUAAGAGACCAAAAUAUAGGAGCAAGAGAAGCAUAUAAGAACAUGCUACAAGAACACAAUAGAGGAAAACACACAUAAACAACAAAGAAAAAAAUCAUAGAAACAUUUGAACAUUUCAGAAACCCUAGAUCGAAAAGAGGCAGUUUUAUGAAAGUAAUUGUUUUGAAAGCAAAGCCAGGAAAAGCGUUUGAAAACUCAAAUAGAGCAUAGAUAUACAAAAAAUCUAGUAAAACCUCGAGGGGUUUCAAAAGAACCCUAAAAUGAGAAAGGCUUUAAAAGGCUAUCGAUGGCCCUGAAACUUUGAGCUGGAAAAGGUCUGGAUGAAGACCUUCGAGGUCUGGCCUCAAACCUUCAAGUAUCGAGCACAUAGGAGUAACAUGAGGUGAGUAUAAGGUUCCCAUGGUCGGAGAAGCCAUGGUUUUCAGUGGGUUUCGAGGUGGGAGUGAUAGAGGCGGCUAGAGUUAAGUAAGGUUCGAUAGAGUCUGAGAGAGAAGAUGGGUUUCAAGGCAGCGUAUUUGAGGGAAAUGAAUUUCAGUUGGGGGUUUAGGUAAUCAAAAAGGUAAGGGGACAUCGUGAUCGUGGCCGUUGAUCAUUUUGAUCAACGACCUGGAUUUAUUGGAGAGCCGAGCGGGUUGGAUCAGAUGGGUCAGGGGUCAGGUUAAAUGGAAAUUGGACUAUGUAAUUUAGGAUUUGAAAUUGGGUUAUUGGGGUGAUCAAGCUAUAAUUGAAAUAAAAUAUGGCUAUCAUUUAAACAGCCACUUUUUCCUUUUUAAUUUAUAGAAAAAUAGCAAAAAUGAUUUUUGAAACAAAUUAAAG